AUUUAAGAAAGAGAAAAACGCUUAUCGGCAGCAGUUACAAAAUAAAAUAAAAAGACAUAAAGCGAAAAAUGAAUCUGAAUUAUAAGAUUUUAAUUGAUCAACCGAUGAUCUUAGUUUAAAACUUUUGCGCAUGAUUGAUUCUAAGUUAGGAAAUGAAUUUCGCUCAUCAAUGUUUUUAGGAUUUUCUCUUUUCAACAAAAUAAAUCUCGCAAAUUCGAGGUUGAAACUAAGGUAACUCAUUAUCUCAGAAAUUUCCAGUUUUGAUUCAUUGUUCGGCCUCGCUGGAUUCAUGGCGCAUGUCACGCACAUAUUUCAGUCAUUUGUGCAGGUUUAUUUGUUUAAGAUUUUCCCUUUCAUACUCAAUUUCGCUAUCUAGGGUGUUUGUGUUGAUGCUCUAAUAGGUUAUUAAGAACUUUAUGUUUUUCAACUCUAAUAUGUUUUUUAAGUUGAUUUUGAAGGUAUUUUAGGGUUAAGAAAAUUUCCCACUGUUUUGUGUUGAUUCCGAUUUUGAUAAACUCAGGCUCUCAUAACAUACAUUGAAACUCUCCAAAUUUAAGGUAAUACACAAUCCCGUAAUUACCACAUAUUUACUUUUCUUUAUGUACUUAUAAUCUUAAUUGUUAUUAUGAAUGGAGAUGUGAUCUUCAUAGACAUGAGAUUUGAAGGCUUCUUUAUAAUCAGUCGAAUAUGUCUAAAGAGGUUUUUGAUUUCCAUGUCUUCAUAUUUUGUUCCCAAUAAAACCAAUUCAUUUUUUAUUUCAAUAAUAUAUAAAGGGAAUCUAGGUUAGUCGCAUAGCUUUUUAACAAUUAUAUUCUUUGUGUGUGAAUAGACAAUUUACAUAUCAGUAUUGAAGAAUCCAUGGAUAAAACAUAUAACUCCUAUAGGACUACAUAAUCAUGUACCAAAAUAACUACAUUUGAAGGUUAGCAAGUGGUGGUGCAUGAACUUGGAGUAUCGUCAAUGGAUGAAUAUUUUAUUAAACUUUCGCUUAGAAGAUUUGCGAACAUCCAUUAAAAUCUACCAGGAUUUCUAAGGUAUUCGGCUUUUAACCGUUUGUUAUGUCUUACUUUCAAACAUCCCUAUGGAAACAAACUUUUGUUGUGCAAUUAAUGUAAUAGUUUGGUUCGAAUUGUUUUGUUUGUGAUACGUACUUCGGUUAUUUUCAGAAUUAUUAAUUUCAUAAAGAACAUCAUAGCGGCGUUUAGUAUAUAACCUUUCAUACUCUACCAUAAUUAUAGCAAGAAUGUUAUUUAGCUACUUUCGCAUUUGUAGCUUUUGGGUCUAUUUUCAUUCUUUGUUGUCAGUGAUGCAGUAAUUUCUAAUGGCUUCUCAACUUCGAAGAAUAAGGUCCCCAGUUGUUGGUGUGGGUAAUUUGAAUUUUGCAUUUUUGUCUUUCUUUUUGUCCUAAGUGGUUUUGCAUACUUAUUUCAAGUGAUGGCCUUUUGAGUUUCAUUUUUGCGAUGGAUAAGAUGACAUUUGCGUUUGUUGAUUUAAGUUUUUGUGAGGAACUUACUUUUUCCAGUGUUGUUCCGGAUAACACGAGGGACUAUCGAUGUUAACAUUCAAUUAUGUCCAACGUAGAUGAGUGAAUUUUCUUGGAAAUCAAUAGAAAAUAUAAUUGCAGCCACCGGUUUGAUUUCUGCUUCUUCACCAUUUUCCCCCUACAUAUUUUCCACAUGUCGUUUCUUUUCAAGUGGCCAAAAAGUCUAGAAAAUCAUAACCACUUCAAAUAACACUUCCUAGCACACAAAGCAAAGUUUCCCUUGACAUUUUGUGUUUUAAGAACAGUUACACCAUCACCGAACUUAAAAGAUAAAUGGGAUUCA